GAGAUCACCAAGGUGGGCUCCCCACCCUAGGUCCAAGGCAUCGGACAUUGAGGGUCACUGACGGGGAUGGAGCUGCAAAGGGAACUCCCUCCAACCUCAAUGCAGGACUCUGCCACGAGCCCCAGGUCGUGACAGGUGGAACAAACCAUAUCGAGAUGCUGCCACAGAUGAUCCCGGGACUGGCCCUUUAUUAGCCAGUCAUCAAGGUGCUCAGCCGAAGAGUCCCCCAGGACCCAGACUGUGGAGGCGGAGGGCGGAACGGCUUCCUGGCCUAUUGAGGAGUAUGGAGGCCCAAGCAGCAGAGACUGGCACAGGAGUCUUUAAGGCCGUGGACUCAAGUCCAUGAGCUCAGAGAAGAGCCCCACCCCCUCAAAUGGGAGGUCCUGAAUAAUGGACUUAAUCUCCUGGGACAGCCCAGAGGACUGCAAAUAGGAGCUGCGCCUCAUGGCCAGUGCAGAGGCGACCACAGUGGCCGCUGAAUCAGUAGUGUCCCAGGCCAUCUGGAGGGCCCCCCUUGCCACAAUUGUGCCUUCAUUGACUAGAGCAGCGAACUCCUGGGCUGCUCCUGAAUUCAUUAAGGGAGUCCCGCAGGUUAAAACUGUACUUG